AUUGAAGGUUUCAUUGGAAUUACAAUCUACAUUUUUUGCAUCUUUUUGUUUGGAGAGGAGGAAAAAUUACACUUGGAAUGAAACGUUAACAAGUCAUCUCAAUUAUUCCAUGUUUAAACCUGUUUGCAUCAGUUCGAUAAAAUGGGCCAAAAUCAAACAGCUGCUUCAAAAACUGGAAAAGCUACAGAUGAUGACAGCAGUUACGGUCUCCAGUAUUAUAGAAAGAGAAUAAUGAAUGAAGAUUCUGAA